rnacentral:rRNA from 1 species
UUAGGAAUAUUGGUCAAUGGAGGCAACUCUGAACCAGCCAUGCCGCGUGCAGGAAGAAGGCCCUAUGGGUCGUAAACUGCUUUUUGAACAAGAGAAAACCCCGGUACGUGUACUGGGUUGAUAGUAUUGUUAGAAUAAGCAUCGGCUAACUUCGUGCCAGCAGCCGCGGUAAGACGAAGGAUGCAAGCGUUAUCCGGAUUCAUUGGGUUUAAAGGGUGCGUAGGCGGACUGAUAAGUCAGUGGUGAAAUCUCUCGGCUUAACCGAGAAACUGCCAUUGAUACUGUUAGUCUAGAGUACAGAUGAUGUGGGCGGAAUAUGACAUGUAGUGGUGAAAUACUUAGAUAUGUCAUAGAACACCGAUUGCGAAGGCAGCUCACAAAACUGUAACUGACGCUGAGGCACGAAAGUGCGGGGAUCAAACAGGAUUAGAUACCCAAGUAGUCCCUGAGCGGGCUGGCAAGGCGCAU